UUACAGAGCUGGUAGCUGUUCCGAACUUGAUCUGGAAAAAUGUUUCCAUGGUACUUUGCAGCCAUUAGUCGAAGGCUGCCUUCAAUUAGCACACAUACAUACCAUGUGAAGGUAAGUAGCAGAGAUACUACUGAUCCACGUAAAGAAAAACAUAAUAUGUGGCACUCCAGAAAUAAUUAUGCCGUGAUGUUUCUUUUACUCACUGAAGACUAUUAAUAGCACGUUUAAACAUUUAAAGAUGUCUAUUGCCUACACAAUUUGUGUCAAUCAAAUUCCCGAAGCUUAACAUAUAUAUUUUAGCUUAUACCAGGAAAAAAAAAAAAAAAAAGAAAGGCAAAUGACUUCAGUUUUCCUCCUUUUGCCUGCCGUCUAACCCAAGGUUGCUGGUCUAGCCACAGGCCAGAUCCACUACAAAUCAAAGCCCAGGAUUCUUUCUUUGAGAAAAUGGAGAGAAGAAGUCAACCUUCCCCAUCCUCAUGCUUUUACUGCCGACUGCACCUGAUACCACCCCCACUCAAGAGAACUCUGAAGAGACUCAAAUACAUCAGGGAGCUGGAGUCAGUGGGUGGGUGCUGAUAAUGUGUUUAUCUUCCCCAGUGGAAACUACACGAGUCAAUCAGACGUCUGACCUUUUCCUUUACCGAAAAGUUACGGGAAGGAAAUGUGAGUCAGAGACUCCUUUUACAGAUACACUGCUUCCUGACUGUCUGGGCAAAGGAGCUGGCCUGGGCUGGCCUCUGAGAUGUCAGCUUUUGGGGCAGUGAGCAAGUGUGUACCUGUCGCUCCUGUGACUCCAGCCGUCACACGCAGAAGGACAGAAUCUACAUCAUUAAUCAUUUGGCAGAGCAGAAAUAGAGUCAUUGAAACAGGCUCCGCUGUGGGAUAAUAGUCCAGAAAUGUCACCAUUUAUCUACUGAGAGGACACUUUUAUCCUCUGACAACGGGCUAGCCCACCGACAUUAUAUCUUAAUUAAAAGAAAAAUUAAUCGGCACAAUUCAUUUUCUUGCCAGCCCCAGUGCUUGCCCUGGACUGCAAAACAUGUCUAGUAGCAACAAUAACCACAGGGUGGGCAGAGACCUUUGAGAUCCCAGUCUUGGAGAGAGAAUGUUAAAGAGCUCCAGUCCCAGGGCAACCAACUCAUCAAACAAAUGCUUAAAAGAGAGAAUCAGGAUGGAACAAGAAAAUAUGAAGUCUAGUGGUGAGCCAGGAGAAUAAAUGGCCUUUGAGAAGAUAACUAUGUGUUUUGGGUUGGUGGGGAGAGGUGGUGAUGGAAGGGUAAGAGGUAGGGAGAGAGUAUGUGGGGGGCGGGUGGAAAUGGACAUUUUCAGAUAACUAUGUAGACAGUUCAAAUAUCUAGACAUUUGGCUGGGUGUAGAUGACAUUCUGUUCUAUCUGAUUAAGUCAUUUUCUACAAGAUUGACCUCUUAUAGUUUGCUGUGGACACUUGAAUAAAAUAGAA
rnacentral:lncRNA from 10 species